UCAGGAUGAACGCNGGCGGCGUGCCUAAUACAUGCAAGUCGAGCGAACGGACGAGAAGCUUGCUUNUNUGAUGUUAGCGGCGGACGGGUGAGUAACACGUGGAUAACCUACCUAUAAGACUGGGAUAACUUCGGGAAACCGGAGCUAAUACCGGAUAAUAUUUUGAACCGCAUGGUUCAAAAGUGAAAGACGGUCUUGCUGUCANUUAUAGANGGAUCCGCGCUGCAUUAGNUAGUUGGUAAGGUAACGGCUUACCAAGGCAACGAUGCAUAGCCGACCUGAGAGGGUGAUCGGCCNCACNGGAANUGAGACNCGGUCCAGANUCNUACGGGAGGCANCAGUAGGGAAUCUUCCNCAAUGGGCGAAAGCCNGACGGAGCAACGCCGCGNGAGUGANGAAGGUCUUCGGAUCGUAAAACUCUGUUAUUAGGGAAGAACAUAUGUGUAAGUAACUGUGCACAUCUGACGGNCCNU
rnacentral:rRNA from 1 species